rnacentral:misc_RNA from 1 species
UAAAAUUGAGGACUAAAUAUACAUUAUUCUUCUCUUAUAGGAAUAGGAACUCUAAAAUGUUGGAUUUCUGAAGCUGGAGCCGGUCAAGGUGGGGGCAUUGAGCAGACAAAUUUAUUGUAGAAAGAUUUGUCUUUGGCCACUCAGAAGAGGAAUUCUUCUCGUCGUAGUCUACCAAGAUAAUGAAUGAGUAGACAUGGUAUCGUUAAACAAAUUGUUGGUGACCUCUCUUUCGUCAACUCCUCACCCUUCGCAAAACUCUUGGAUUCAUGUGUCAAAUCCCACUCUGCCCGCGAUACAAGUCGCAUACAUGCACGCAUCAUCAAAACCCACUUUGCCUAUGAAGUGUAUAUACAGAAUAAACUCAUUGAUGCUUAUGGCAAGUGCGAUUGUUUGGAUGAUGCGCGCAAGGUGUUCGAUAAAAUGCCCGAGAAGAACACUUUUACCUGGAACUCCAUUAUGAGCACGUUGAUGAAGUCUGGUUUUCUCGAUGAGGGCGCUUGGUUAUUUGCAUCAAUGCCCGAGCCUGACCAAUGCUCUUGGAAUUCAAUCAUUGCUGGUUUUGCUCAGCAUGAUCGGUUUGAAGAAGCUUUGGAUUUUUUUGUUAGGAUGCAUGGGAAAGGUUUUGUUCUUAAUGAGUAUACGUUUGGUAGUGCUCUUAGUGCUUGUGCAGGGUUAAAGCAUCUGAAAAUGGGUACCCAAAUUCACGGUUUGAUGUUUAAAUCUCAAUUCUCAUUGGAUGUUUAUAUGGGCUCUGCUCUUGUUGACAUAUAUUCUAAAUGUGGGGUUGUGGCUUGUGCUCAAAGGGUUUUUGAUGGGAUGAGAGAGAGGAAUGUUGUUUCUUGGAAUAGCUUGAUUACGUGUUAUGAACAAAAUGGUCCAGCAAGGGAAGCUUUGGAAGUUUUUGAAAGGAUGUUAGAGAGGGGGUUUGAACCAGAUGAGAUUACAUUGGCCAGUGUGGUAAGUGCUUGUGCAAGCUUGGCAGCAAUUAAACAAGGUUUAGAAAUUCAUGCCUGUGUGGUGAAAUGUGAUAAACUUAGGGAUGAUCUUAUAUUAUGUAAUGCAUUGGUUGAUAUGUAUGCAAAAUGCUGUAGGAUUAAUGAAGCUAGAUGUGUUUUUGAUAGAAUGCCAUUUAGGAAUGUGGUGUCUGAAACCUCCAUGGUGAGUGGUUAUGCAAAGGCAGCAAGUGUUAAAGCUGCAAGAUUAGUGUUUGCAAAGAUGAUGGAGAGAAAUGUAGUGUCUUGGAAUGCCCUUAUUGCAGGAUAUACUCAAAAUGGGGAGAAUGAAGAGGCACUUGGACUCUUCUGCAUGUUAAAGAGGGAAGGUAUAUGCCCAACCCACUACACCUUUGGGAACCUAUUGAAUGCCUGUUCAAAUCUUGCUGAUCUGCAGCUUGGAAGACAGGCGCACACUCAUGUUUUGAAGCAUGGAUUUCAGUUUCAAUCCAGGGAAGAUUCUGAUGUUUUUUUAGGGAAUGCUCUCAUAGACAUGUACAUGAAAUGUGGAUCAGUUGAGGAAGGGUGUCGGGUUUUUGAAAAUAUGGUGGAAAGGGAUUAUGUUUCAUGGAAUGCCAUGAUAGUAGGGUAUGCACAAAAUGGUUAUGGGAUGGAGGCCCUUGAAUUAUUUAGGAAAAUGUUGGCAUCCGGAGAGAAACCAGACCAUGUUACUUUAAUUGGUGCUUUAUGUGCUUGUAGCCAUGCAGGGCUUGUAGAAGAGGGUCGACGAUACUUUUCCACAAUGACGGAGGAGUAUGGUGUGGAACCAUUGAAGGACCAUUAUACAUGCAUGGUUGAUUUACUUGGUCGAGCUGGAUGCCUCAAUGAAGCCAAAAAUUUGAUAGAGGCAAUGCCUAUGCAGCCCGAUGCAGUUGUCUGGGGAUCUUUGCUUGCUGCUUGUAAAGUUCAUCACAACAUUACCUUGGGGGAGUACGCUGCAGAGAAGCUAUUAGAAAUUGACUCAACAAACUCUGGACCCUAUGUUCUUCUCUCAAAUAUGUAUGCUGAGCUUGGCAGAUGGAAGGAUGUCAUGAGAGUAAGAAAAUUGAUGAGGCAUCGAAGAGUCAUUAAGCAGCCUGGUUGCAGCUGGAUUGAAAUACUAGGCCAUGUGCACGUUUUCAUGGUGAAAGAUAAGAAACACUGUCGGAGGAACGAGAUCUAUUUGCUUUUGAAAAUUCUUACAGAGCAUAUGAAGAGAGCUGGAUAUGUCCCAGACGUUGGUGAUCAUGAGGCUUACGAGGAACAGACUGACUUAGAGGUGAGCACGUGCUUCCAAAUGGAAAUACCAGAAGAGUUUGCUGUCAUGUAAUUUGUGUGGGAAUGAUUUGGUUCCAAUGUUCUAUUCUUGAUGCUUGUUUUACCAAAGCCUGACCAAUUGUUUUAUUAACUUACCGAUGGGAAAUAAAAGAUCCUCUGCCAUGUUAUGCUCAAAAGUUACACACUUUGAUAAGAGCCAAUAAUGUUUUAUUAGAGGCAAUCUUAUUGUUAUACAUAUGUUGGACAUAUAUGCGACAAGGGAAUGAAUCACUGCCCUUUAGAUGGGGUUAUGCUAUAAUUACAUUGUUUACACUUUUUCUAAGCCUAGUACUAAUAUAUAGCUUACAUACUAAAAAAUGGUUUCCUCCACAACUAGAACAAGUUAAAUUUGUUACAACUAGCUCAUUUUCAGUGCCGCACUUUCUACUCCAUGAUAUAAUUUUCGUUUCUGCUUAAAUCUAAAAUUUCUUGCUCUGUAUGAAAGCCACGAAAUUCUACCACUAAACCAGUCAAAAGAAAUUGUCAAGGUUAUUGCAUUUGGGCCAAUGAGUUGAAAAGGCAGGUGAACUAGCUUGAUAGCAACAACAUAAAAUGAACUCUCUUCCAAGAGGUCUUCUCCGCUGGAAUGCCCCUUUCUUGCUAGAAAGAUUGGCAAAGCUUCUAUUGCUCAACACAGAGAAUGUAAACGAAAAAGCUACUAGGUCCUGCCUCUUCUUUGCUCCAUUCGGACACUCUUCUAAAGAUUUCAAAGGAUUUGAUAAUUGCAUCCUCCGGUAGGCAAUGAGUUCUUUGGUUCGAAAAUUAAUCCAAACCUGUUAGUCUCUUUUUCUGUGAAGAAACUGAAAAGAUAUCUUUUCAAGUACACAGGAGCUGGAAUGGUAGAAACCAAAAGAGCAGUGAGAACAAUUUCUAAUAAAUAAGUAGCAUACGAACUUUGACCUCAUGAAAAUCAGCUGAAACAGCUCUGGAGUCUGGAUGAAUAUUCUGUCGAGAAUAACCAUUUGGGUUAAAGGGGAAACGAGGGAGUUGAUUAUAAAUUUACAGGCGGAAGAGAAGUAAAUAGUGGCUUGGGUAUACGAAUUGUAGCCCGUCAGCUGCGCCUUUUCUUCUUAUGCAGGAGACGCGAUGAAUGGGAUAACAAAUGAUCAUCGUGCAGCCAAUCACCGGAACGGCCCUAUGAUUGACGAUUUAAACCCAAGCAAUGGUGGUAGCACCCAUCCCUUUCAAAAUGCCUGGGCAGAUGCAAGCUUCCCAUCACCACAUUAAAAUAUUGGCCAAUACCGUACAAGAUAAAUCCUGAGCAUGGCAAUAGCAGACAAUUGAGUUUCUGCUAUUAUAAGCGCUGAUUACAAUCAAUAAUCCAUUCAACAUAUCUAUUUGAAUACCAUGAAGGCCAAGUGACAUCAUCUGGAAAGGGCGCAACAUGACACUUUUAAAAGUCACCCAGAAAUAGGUGGGAAGAAACACCAAACAGCGGGAGAAAGCUGCAUAUCAGAACUCCAUACAAGAAAAUGCAUGGACUUACAAGUGAUUCCUGAAUCCAACAUCAACACAACUCCUUCAGCUAAAAAGGAAAAAUUCCUAACAGAAGCAUCUCAUGAUUAAGGGUAAAAUUGAAAAAUACAAAACUAAAAUCACAAGCCUAGAAAUGCAAGUCAAAGUACCUACCCCGUAGGAUGAAAAUUGAUUCCUAUGAACCUAAUAUUCCAUUUUAACAACUGCAUUUGAAGUCUCCAUUGACAAUGCCGACGAUCCAUAUUGGAGCCAAUCCUUAGCACAAACAAGGGCUUCAAGUGUCACAGGUCGCAAUGAACUCCGGUAGCUAUCUAUCUUUUUACUUCCAGUGUCAAAUACAG